CUGAGUUAACCUAACUCUCAAACCCAUGUGAACUUACCACUAUGUUGCCUCGGCGGCAGAAAGGUUCAGGGCCUCCUUCGGGGGGCUCCUGGGCUGGGCCGCCGGUGGACCACUAAACUCUGUUAUACUUGAAUCUCUGAGCAAAAUUAUAAUAAAUCA
rnacentral:misc_RNA from 2 species